CACGUAGGGUGCGAGCGUUGUCCGGAAUUAUUGGGCGUAAAGCGCUCGUAGGCGGUGUGUCGCGUCUGCCGUGAAAACCUGCAGCUCAACUGUGGGCUUGCGGUCGAUACGGGCAUCACUGGAGUUCGGCAGGGGAGACUGGAAUUCCUGGUGUAGCGGUGAAAUGCGCAGAUAUCAGGAGGAACACCGGUGGCGAAGGCGGGUCUCUGGGCCGAUACUGACGCUGAGGAGCGAAAGCGUGGGGAGCAAACAGG
rnacentral:rRNA from 1 species